rnacentral:other from 1 species
UCAAUCCUGAUAUGUUUGCCUAUAUCAUAUGUUUUGACCGAACAGUUUUAUAUAGGGAGCUUAGCAGUUUUCGUGUGGCAUACAUGCCUCGUUUUCAACUAACGAGAGGACGUAUAAAAUACGAAACAAGGCACCCACCUGCUCGUAGCGGGGAUCAAAACUUACUAUAGGCGGCAUUAUUGGGAUUGAU